rnacentral:rRNA from 1 species
CAGAACGAACGCUGGUGGCGUGUCUUAUACAUGCAAGUCGAGCGAGGCAGCAAUGCCGAGCGGCGAACGGGUGAGUAACGCGUAAGCAAUCUGCCCCAUAUCAGGAAAUACCCGUGCCAACGCGCGGUUAAUGUCCAGGAGAGUGGCCCUCUGCAUGGAGGGUUGACUAGAGAUUUAUCGGUAUGGGAUGAGCUUGCGUCCGAUUAGCUAGUUGGCGGGGCAACGGCCCACCAAGGCGACGAUCGGUAGCCGGCCUGAGAGGGUGAUCGGCCACAUUGGGACUGAGAUACGGCCCAGACUCCUACGGGAGGCAGCAGUAGGGAAUAUUGCACAAUGGGGGAAACCCUGAUGCAGCAACGCCACGUGUGGGAAGAAGCAUUUCGGUGUGUAAACCACUGUCAUGAGGGAAUAAGGCCCUUAUUCGUAAGGACUUGAAUGUACCUUGAGAGGAAGCACCGGCAAACUUCGUGCCAGCAGCAGC